UUACUUAAUCUUUAAUCUCCUUCUUGCUCCUUGAUUUAUCAAAGGCUAACUUAUUUCUAGUUUUUGUAGCUUUUUCUCUCUAACCAAUAAGUUGCUUAACUUGAGAGGAGUUGGAAGAAAUUUAUCAACCAACAAAUGAAGUGAGGCUUCUCUAUUUAUAGGCAAUCCUAAGUUAGGGCAUUAUGGACAUUUAGGCCAUCCCACCUCCUUAAUCACCUCCUUACUAUUCAUUACCUAGCUAUUAAGUAAACUUGGCCAUUAAGUCUACUAGAUCAUCACACUUACUUAGCCAUUAAAUAUACUUGCUAGUC
rnacentral:lncRNA from 1 species